rnacentral:rRNA from 1 species
UGAGGAAUAUUGGUCAAUGGACGAGAGUCUGAACCAGCCAAGUAGCGUGCAGGAUGACGGCCCUAUGGGUUGUAAACUGCUUUUGUUUGGGAAUAAUCGACAUUACGUGUAAUGUUUUGCAUGUACCAUUCGAAUAAGGACCGGCUAAUUCCGUGCCAGCAGCCGCGGUAAUACGGAAGGUCCAGGCGUUAUACGGAUUUAUUGGGUUUAAAGGGAGUGUAGGCGGUUGGUUAAGCGUGUUGUGAAAUGUAGAUGCUCAACAUCUGACUUGCAGCGCGAACUGGCUGACUUGAGUACACACAACGUAGGCGGAAUUCAUGGUGUAGCGGUGAAAUGCUUAGAUAUCAUGAAGAACUCCGAUUGCGAAGGCAACUUACGGGAGUGUUACUGACGCUUAAGCUCGAAGGUGCGGGUAUCGAACAGG